rnacentral:rRNA from 1 species
UACGUAGGGGGCUAGCGUUGUCCGGAUUUAUUGGGCGUAAAGAGCGUGUAGGCGGCCAGGUAGGUCCGGUGUGAAAACUCGAGGCUUAACCUCGAGAUGUCAUCGGAAACCAUCUGGCUAGAGUCCGGAAGAGGAAAGUGGAAUUCCUGGUGUAGCGGUGAAAUGCGCAGAUAUCAGGAAGAACACCAAUGGCGAAAGCAGCUUUCUGGGACGGUACUAACGCUGAGGCGCGAAAGCCAGGGGAGCGAACGGG